GUGGGGAAUAUUGCACAAUGGAGGAAACUCUGAUGCAGCGACGCCGCGUGAAUGAUGAAGGCCUUCGGGUUGUAAAGUUCUGUCCUUGGGGAAGAUAAUGACGGUACCCAAGGAGGAAGCCCCGGCUAACUACGUGCCAGCAGCCGCGGUAAUACGUAGGUGGCAAGCGUUGUCCGGAAUUAUUUGGCGUAAAGAGCAUGUAGGCGGGAAUCUAAGUCUGUUGUGAAAAUGCGGGGCUCAACCCCGUAUUGCGAUGGAAACUGGGUUUCUUGAGUGCAGGAGAGUAAAUGGGAAUUCCAAGUGUAGCGGUGAAAUGCGUAGAUAUUAGGAGGAACACCAGUGGCGAAGGCGCCUUUCUUGACUGUGUCUGACGCUGAGAUGCGAAAGCCAGGGUAGCGAACGGGAUUAGAAACCCCUGUAGUCC
rnacentral:rRNA from 1 species